rnacentral:rRNA from 1 species
CAAUAGCGUAUAUUAAAGUUGUUGCGGUUAAAAGCUCGUAGUUGGAUUUCUGCCGAGGACGACCGGUCCGCCCUCUGGGUGAGUAUCUGGCUUGGGCCUUGGCAUCUUCUUGGAGAACGUAGCUGCACUUGACUGUGUGGUGCGGUAUCCAGGACUUUACUUGAGGAAAUUAGAGUGUUUCAAGCAGGCACACGCCUUGAAUACAUUAGCAUGGAAUAAUAAGAUAGGACCUCGGUUCUAUUUUGUUGGUUUCUAGAGCUGAGGUAAUGAUUAAUAGGGAUAGUUGGGGGCAUUCGUAUUUAACUGUCAGAGGUGAAAUUCUUGGAUUAUGAAGACGAACUUCUGCGAAAGCAUUUGCCAAGGAUGUUUCAUUAAUCAAGAACGAAGUUGGGGGCUCGAAGAUGAUUAGAUACCA